rnacentral:rRNA from 1 species
CAGUAGCCGCGGGAAUACAGAGGGUGCGAGCGUUAAUCGGAUUUACUGGGCGUAAAGCGUGCGUAGGCGGCUUUUUAAGUCGGAUGUGAAAUCCCUGAGCUUAACUUAGGAAUUGCAUUCGAUACUGGGAAGCUAGAGUAUGGGAGAGGAUGGUAGAAUUCCAGGUGUAGCGGUGAAAUGCGUAGAGAUCUGGAGGAAUACCGAUGGCGAGGGCAGCCAUCUGGCCUAAUACUGACGCUGAGGUACGAAAGCAUGGGGAGCAAACAGGAUUAGAUACCCCAGUAGUCCCUGUCUCUUAUAC